GAUGAACGCUGGCGGCGUGCCUAAUACAUGCAAGUCGAGCGAACAGACGAGGAGCUUGCUCCUCUGACGUUAGCGGCGGACGGGUGAGUAACACGUGGAUAACCUACCUAUAAGACUGGGAUAACUUCGGGAAACCGGAGCUAAUACCGGAUAAUAUAUUGAACCGCAUGGUUCAAUAGUGAAAGACGGUUUUGCUGUCACUUAUAGAUGGAUCCGCGCCGCAUUAGCUAGUUGGUAAGGUAACGGCUUACCAAGGCAACGAUGCGUAGCCGACCUGAGAGGGUGAUCGGGCACACUGGAAGUGAGGCACGGUCCAGACUCCGACGGGAGGCAGCAGUAGGGAAUCUUCCGGGAUGGGCGAGAGCGUGACGGAGCAACGCCGCGUGAGUGAUGAAGGUCUUCGGAUCGGAAAACUCUGUUAUUAGGGGGGAACAAAUGUGUAAGUAACUAUGCACGUCUUGACGGUACCUAAUCAGAAAGCCACGGCUAACUACGUG
rnacentral:rRNA from 1 species